UACGUAGGGUGCGAGCGUUGUCCGGAAUUAUUGGGCGUAAAGAGCUCGUAGGCGGCUUGUCACGUCGAUUGUGAAAGCCCGAGGCUUAACCUCGGGUCUGCAGUCGAUACGGGCUAGCUAGAGUGUGGUAGGGGAGAUCGGAAUUCCUGGUGUAGCGGUGAAAUGCGCAGAUAUCAGGAGGAACACCGGUGGCGAAGGCGGAUCUCUGGGCCUUACCUGACGCUCAGGUGCGAAAGCUAGGGGAGCGAACAGG
rnacentral:rRNA from 1 species